rnacentral:rRNA from 1 species
UACGGAAGGCAGCAGUGGGGAAUAUUGCACAAUGGGCGCAAGCCUGAUGCAGCCAUGCCGCGUGUAUGAAGAAGGCCUUCGGGUUGUAAAGUACUUUCAGUCGUGAGGAAGGUGUUAAGGUUAAUAACCUUAGCAAUUGACGUUAGCGACAGAAGAAGCACCGGCUAACUCCGUGCCAGCAGCCGCGGUAAUACGGAGGGUGCGAGCGUUAAUCGGAAUUACUGGGCGUAAAGGGCAUGCAGGCGGUUAAUUAAGUUGGAUGUGAAAUCCCCGGGCUUAACCUGGGAAUGGCAUUCAAGACUGGUUAGCUAGAGUCUUGUAGAGGGGGUAGAAUUCCAUGUGUAGCGGUGAAAUGCGUAGAGAUGUGGAGGAAUACCGGUGGCGAAGGCGGCCCCUGGGACAAAGACUGACGCUCAUGUGCGAAAGCGUGGGGAGCAAACGAGGAUUAGAUACC